UGGGGAAUCUUGCGCAAUGGGCGAAAGCCUGACGCAGCCAUGCCGCGUGCAGGAUGAAGGCCUUCGGGUUGUAAACUGCUUUUGUACGGAACGAAAAGACUCCUUCUAAUAAAGGGGGUCCAUGACGGUACCGUAAGAAUAGGCACCGGCUAACUACGUGCCAGCAGCCGCGGUAAUACGUAGGGUGCGAGCGUUAAUCGGAAUUACUGGGCGUAAAGCGUGCGCAGGCGGUGAUGUAAGACAGGUGUGAAAUCCCCGGGCUUAACCUGGGAAUUGCAUUUGUGACUGCAUCGCUGGAGUGCGGCAGAGGGGGAUGGAAUUCCGCGUGUAGCAGUGAAAUGCGUAGAUAUGCGGAGGAACACCGAUGGCGAAGGCAAUCCCCUGGGCCUGCACUGACGCUCAUGCACGAAAGCGUGGGGAGCAAACA
rnacentral:rRNA from 1 species